AGGCUGGGCUGGAGGAAGCCAGGGUGGCUCUGUCCUCAGCACAGCUUGGGGUAGGGGGGUGUUGCUUGGCCUCCACUCUGAUUCCCUGGCUGUCGGGUUGCCUGGCAACCAUUGUUCAUUUCAUCGCCAUUGACUUUGAAAAUAAAAAUCAAUUUCCUUCAUGACGUGAGCCGGAGGGCAUAUUAACCCACAAGUUCAAACAGCCCAAUGUUAUUGCUCAAAGAUUUAUGAGUACGGAUGUGCACAGAGCAUCAUUUAUAAUCAGAAAAGUGUUUUGGAGGGGCUGAUCCUAAACGUCUGUCACACGGGUGUGAUUAAAUCAAGGCCCUUUCUCCCCACAGAAUAUUCCUCAGCUAAUAAAAAACAAUGACGGAGAUCUUGGUGUGCCGACGGGGAAACGCUCUCACGAGGUCUGUAUUCGUUUCCUGUUGCUGCUGUAACAAGUCGCCACAAACUUCCUGGCUUAACGCAAAAUGUCUUAUCUUCCACGGGCUGCCCGCGUACCUUGGCUUUUGGCCGUGUCAUUCCAACUGGUGUUUUCGUGUCGUCUUCCUCUUCCCCCUGUGAGGACCCUUCUGAUUACGCUGGGUGCCUCCCGAUAACCCAAGGGGGAUCUCCCCAUCUCAAGAUCUUCUGCUUAAUCACGUGUGCAAAAUCCUCUUUGCCAUAAAGCCAGUACACUCACAAGUCAUCUCCCAACGCGAGUAUUUGUUUACAGGUAUCCAUGUUUACCAAUAUAUUUGA